rnacentral:misc_RNA from 1 species
AUACCAAUCUAGCCUGGCUAGGUGUUGGGCUUCGCCGUCUGGCGGGCCUUAAAAACUAGUGGCGGUGCUCUUAAGCUCUACGCGUAGUAAUUUUCUCGCUAUAGGGUCUUGAGAGAUGCUGGCCAGCAACCCCAAAUUUUUCUA